UGGGGGUGAUUUCAGGGAAAGUGCCACAGAGAGCAGACUACCCCGCCUCGGCGGGGCAAAGGUGAAAGGGUGCGGUAAGAGCGCACCGGGGACCUGGCGACAGGGACCGCAUGGUAAACCCCACCGGGAGCAAGACCGAAUAGGGACGGCGCGGGGCUUCGGCCCCAGCCUUGUUUUCAGGCCAGUCGUCCGGGUUGGUUGCACGAGGCGCGCAGCAAUGCGCGUCCCAGAUGAAUGGCUACCACGUCCGUCCCUUCGGGGGCGGGCCCUACAGAACCCGGCUUACAGGUCAACUGGCGUU
rnacentral:RNase_P_RNA from 1 species